GCGAUGUAUUGUGUCACUAGGUAAUUAACAAACACAUGUUUGUAUCACGCACCGUGUAUGAUUCACGAUAAUGCACUAUAUGUAUUCACUAUAUUACACGGUAUGUUACACCAUGUUUAGCACAAUAUUUGCUACGACGCACAAACUCACAUAUUUUAAAUGCAUUGUUUAUUGUUUUAAGCACGCUAUUGUCAAGUGCCACUAAUCACCGUUGUAAUUACAUGUUACGUUAACCUAUCCUCUUUUGAGCACCUGCAGUCACUAUACCAGCACCAUUAUGAUGGAGGGAUGCGGCAUCAACAUGUGGCCAACCGACGCCAAGACACGAUAUGGUGGGACAAUAGCGACAUCGGCGAACCACGUCAUAUCGACAGUUACGUAGCUCGCCGCACCAACCAGGAGCCGAGCUCACAAGGAGAGCUACCGCACACACGAUUCUGUGCGAGUCAGUUUACCCUACCCGCAAACGGGGUGCCGACCGCCACGACGACAACCACAACGACGACCGCGACCGCGAGGACAACGACGACGAGGAGGACUUUUACAACUGGGACCCGAAGCCCAGUGGAGCACCGCCAGUGCACACGAGCUACGACGACGACGAUCACGAGACGACGACCACCACAGCGACGACACGGACCCCACACCAACGGACCACGAGGACGACGGCGACUUCGCUAGAUUGUUUAUUAUUAUAUAACAGAAAAUAAUGUUUAAUAGAAGAUAAAGUAAAAUAAAAAUCCAUUGUUAGUUAAAGUAAAUUUUAGUUAAUUUAGUUAAGUAAAUUAAGGUGAAGGUGUUUUAAGUAACAAAAUAAAAAUGAAAUAGCUUAAUGCAUAGCCAUAAAGAAGCAAAACAAGGAAGGAAUAGAUAAUAGAGAAAAGUAAAGUUUAGAUGCACCGAUAAUUUAGUCUUUCCGGUUAUAAAAAAAAGUUAAAAAUAUACGUAUUAAAAGCAAUGCAUCACAACGUUGACAGAAGUUGUUCGCCGCAUUAGUACGGCUCCCAACUUGUCAUAUGGUGAGGGAGUAAUGUAAUACAGAAAUAACGAGAAGAUGAAAACGA